GAUUUCUGGAUGGCUGUGCUAGCCCGCUGGCUUUCGGGUCGGUGAGCGCCGGUACGAGUCAUUCAUCUUUGUAGGGAGCCUGGUCUGCCCUUUUUUGGGUGGGUCUGUGCGAACUACAUCAUUUACUUUGAAAAAAUUAGAGUGUUUCAAGCAGGCUUUAUGCUAUGAAUACAUUAGCAUGGAAUAAUAAUUUAGGACUUCGGUUCUAUUUUGUUGGUUUCUAGGACUGAAGUAAUGAUUGAUAGGGAUAGUUGGGGGUGCUAGUAUUCAGCGGCCAGAGGUGAAAUUCUCGGAUUCGCUGAAGACUAACUUAUGCGAAAGCAUU
rnacentral:rRNA from 1 species